UUUUUUUUCUUUCGGGCUUGUUAGUAAACCCCCCUUGUACCCCCUGUAUUCCACCCGAAUCCACUCAUCUCCCGCAUCGGCGAUGAUACAGAGAACCCGGCGAGCCUCGGCUCCGCCGACGACGGCGAGCCCGCGCCCCGACAGCGCUGCUCCCCCGUCUCCAGGACUGCCACCUCGCCGCACCUCCGCGCGGCGGGCCCGAGGCAGCGGCCGCGCGGGCGCCCCGGCGGAGGCGCUGGUGCGCCGCUCGGUCGUCGAGCCGUGCCUCACCUGCGGGAUCUGCGGCGGCCUCCUCAGCGACGCCACCGCCUUCUCCGAGUGCCUCGAUGCCUUUUGCAGGAAAUGCAUAUAUGAUAAGUUGGCGAAGGAGAAUAUAAAGUGCUGCCCUACUUGCGGCAUUCAUUUGGGCCGUGCUCCAUUGGAGAAGCUCAGACCUGAUCAUAGCCUGCAACACAUCAGGUCAGUGAUAUUUCCUGCUAAGAGACGCAAGGUUGCCACCAUCAAGAAGAGGAAGGAAAAGGUUUCCGCUGAAUCAAUCCUUUCUUCAGUGGUGGAUAUCGUUGCAGAAGGAAGAACUGCACCACUGGCACCUGCUGCUUCACAAAUAGAGGCACAGAAGAUAGAGGUUGAGGUGAUCGAUGAGGCUGAUGAGGCUUUGGUAGCUCAGGAAACAGUUUAUGAGUCUUCUAUCUUGAAUCUUGCUCCUGUUGGAAGAGAUGUUUUGUCGCGAAUUAGGUGUCGAGACUUUUACUCAGCAUGCCAUCUUUCUGCGGAGACUGGAGCCUUGAUUGUGUGGCAACCACCACCUAUCCCAGAGGAGAUGGUUGACCAUGAUCAGUUAGCCCCCAGGCAGGACCCACAGACUUUUGGGCCUCCAGCGUACUUUGAUACUGAGUACCAGCGACAAGUACCAGCUGUACAGAUUACCGAUACUUCGGUUGUGGCAGGCAGCUCAUUCCAUGCUAGGAUGACUGUCCAGGAUGAUGAUAACCUGAGGGGAGAUAUUCUCGCAUUUUUCAAUGAGAGUACUGCAAGAAUCAUGGGGAGGUAUGAUGCUCACAUAAGCCAAUUAAAGGCAGAGAACUCAAAAUUACUAGAGCAAUUGGAAAAUGAAAGAGCUGCUGCUCUUGAGAGGACAAGAAUCCUUGAAGAGAGGCACCAACAAGAAUUGGAGAAUGAAAGAGCAGCUGCUGCUGAGAGGACUAGAAUUAUUGAAGAGAAGCUCCAAAGACAAUUGGAUAAUGAACGAGAAUGUGUUCUUGUGAGUAUGAGAAUGCUCACAGAGAGGCUCCAAAGGGAGUCCGAAAUUGCCACGAGUGCUACAAACCGAAGCCGGUCCUUGGAGGCAGACAAUGCCAGACUUUAUGAAGAACUGGAAAAUGGAAGAGCAGACAACCAGGCUCUAAUUUCAGAUAUUGUAGAGAAAAGUGAUGAGCUUGCGACACUCAAAUAUCACUGUGACAUGUUUGAGUCAGACAAGAGAGAUCUAGAAAAUCAAGUUGAGGAUCUGAUGAAGGAACUGGAAUAUGCUAAGAAAGAACAUGCAAGAUAUGUCCGUCAGGUCUUGGAUGCAGCAAGGGCGAUUCCUAACAACUUGGAGGCAAUCCACACUGACGCUCAGCACUGAAUUGAGGCUGGCACAUCGGACGUUGCUUGAGCUUCUGCUGAUGUUUCAGAUUAUUUCUUCCUCUGGUUGCAUAGAUUACAGUGAGCAGCGGAUCAAUGGAGGGGCUGAUCGUGUUCAUCCGCACAAGGGUGCUGAUAUUCCCAGAUGAGAAUGAGCUUCUUCAAGAAGUUAUUCCCUGGGGCUGAAGAAUUGAAGAGAGUGAAGGAAGAGUAUACUAGAUUUUUCCACUUGCAUCGGAGAAUUCAAUGACUAUGAUUCCAUCUAUGACAGAUUGAUUCUUGAUCCAUUGAACUGGUCGGUGAAUUAUGGACAAUGUAGUCCCUUGCUGCAUGGUUUGGCUAUCAAAUCUGCGAACCAGCCUGCCUCAUGUUCAUGCUGUGAAAGGAACUGGAGUACAUACAACUUCAUUCACAGCAUGAAAAGAGACCAGUUAAAUCCUGAGCGUGAUGAGGAUUUGGUUUUUGUCCAUAACAAUCUAAGGCUGAUGUCAAGGAAGACACAAGUGUACAAGACUGGGGCAACAAGAAUGAGAUGUGGGAGGAGAUGGCUUUGAUUUUUUUUUUUCUGGAGUUGGAAUUUUGGAAAUUGCUACAUUGGCACUUGAUGAACCAGAGAUGGAGAGUGUAUCAUUUGAGGAGGCUGUGGAAGUUGAAAACGUGGAAGAAGGCAUGCAGAGGUUGAAGAAGUUUAGGAAGUCUUGAGGGAUCAGGAAGUCUGAGGAAGAAGUUAUCUUAUUAGUGUCUUUAUUUUAAUUGGAAUUUUGGCUUGUAAUAUAAUUUAGGCUGCACUUGUGUAUGAUGUGUAUGAUGCGGUGCUACUGCUACUGCUGUACUGUUCAAGUGUCCAUUUGGUCUGUUGCCGUUUGUUGCUUGAAAUCGAGCUUGGAACGUUUUUAUUUGGUUGA